UACGGAGGGGGCUAGCGUUGUUCGGAAUUACUGGGCGUAAAGCGCGCGUAGGCGGCUUUGUAAGUUAGAGGUGAAAGCCCAGGGCUCAACCCUGGAAUUGCCUUUAAGACUGCAUCGCUUGAACAUCGGAGAGGUAAGUGGAAUUCCGAGUGUAGAGGUGAAAUUCGUAGAUAUCGGAAGGAACAUCAGUGGCGAAAGCGACUUCCUGGACCAAUACUGACGCUCAUGAUGCGGAAAGCGUGGGGAGCAAAACAGGUUGAGAAACCCU
rnacentral:rRNA from 1 species